rnacentral:rRNA from 1 species
AAUGAACGCUGGCGGUAUGCCUAACACAUGCAAGUCGAACGAGACCUUCGGGUCUAGUUGCGCACGGGUGCGUAACGCGUCGGAACCUGCCCUUAGGUUCGGAAUAACUCACCUAAAGGGGUGCUAAUACAGGAUAAUUUCUUCGGACCAAAGAUUUAUCACCUUUGGAUGGGCCCGCGUUGGUUUAGAUGGUUGGGAGUGUAAAAGCCUACCAAGGCGACGAUCCAUAGCUGGUCUGGGAGGAUGAUCAGCCACACUGGGACUGGGACACGGCCCAGACUCUUAGAGCAGGCGGCAGUGGGGAAUCUUGGAAAAGGGGCGAAGGCCUGAUCCAGCAAUGCCGCGUGAGUGAUGAAGGCCUUAGGGUUGUAAAGCUCUUUUACCCGGGAUGAUAAUGACAGUACCGGAAGAAUAAGCCCCGGCUAACUUCGUG